UGGCAGCAGCAUGGAAGAUGAUACCAUUGUGCAGUAUGUGGUGUAUUUGGUCGAAAAGGAAUGCACGGUGCUUUGAAGAUAGGGAGCGAACAAUGGCGGAGCUUCAGAGUUUUUUUCUACACACUAAACUCCUAUGAAUGUAUUUAGGUGUUUUCUUCUGUAUACUCCAUGUGUACAUGGGCUAUGCCUAUUUUUCAUCCAUAUCAAUGAAGCUUACUUCUUACUUUUAAAAAUAAAA